rnacentral:rRNA from 1 species
GUUGAUAAGGUUAAGUGAAUAAGGGCGCACGGUGGAUGCCUUGGCACUAGGAGCCGAUGAAGGACGGGACUAACACCGAUAUGCUUUGGGGAGCUGUAAGUAAGCUAUGAUCCAGAGAUUUCCGAAUGGGGGAACCCAAUAUCUUUUAUAGGAUAUUACUUUUCAGUGAAUACAUAGCUGAUUAGAGGUAGACGCAGAGAACUGAAACAUCUUAGUACCUGCAGGAAGAGAAAGAAAAUUCGAUUCCCUGAGUAGCGGCGAGCGAAACGGGAAGAGCCCAAACCAACAAGCUUGCUUGUUGGGGUUGUAGGACUCCAAUAUGGUAGUCUGUUAGUAUAGUUGAAGGAUUUGGAAAAUUCCGCUAAAGAGGGUGAAAGCCCCGUAGACGAAAUGCUGACAACACCUAGGAGGAUCCUGAGUACGGCGGAACACGAGAAAUUCCGUCGGAAUCCGCGGGGACCAUCCCGCAAGGCUAAAUACUCCCUAGUGACCGAUAGUGAACCAGUACCGUGAGGGAAAGGUGAAAAGCACCCCGGAAGGGGAGUGAAAUAGAUCCUGAAACCGUGUGCCUACAACAAGUCAAAGCUCGUUAAUGAGUGAUGGCGUGCCUUUUGUAGAAUGAACCGGCGAGUUACGAUUGCAUGCGAGGUUAAGUCGAAGAGACGGAGCCGCAGCGAAAGCGAGUCUGAAUAGGGCGAAUGAGUAUGUAGUCGUAGACCCGAAACCAUGUGAUCUACCCAUGUCCAGGUUGAAGGUGCGGUAAAACGCACUGGAGGACCGAACCCACGUACGUUGAAAAGUGCGGGGAUGAGGUGUGGGUAGCGGAGAAAUUCCAAACGAACUUGGAGAUAGCUGGUUCUCUCCGAAAUAGCUUUAGGGCUAGCCUCGGAAUUGAGAAUGAUGGAGGUAGAGCACUGUUUGGACUAGGGGCCCAUCUCGGGUUACCGAAUUCAGAUAAACUCCGAAUGCCAUUCAUUUAUAUCCGGGAGUCAGACUGCGAGUGAUAAGAUCCGUAGUCGAAAGGGAAACAGCCCAGACCACCAGCUAAGGUCCCAAAAUAUAUGUUAAGUGGAAAAGGAUGUGGGGUUGCACAGACAACUAGGAUGUUGGCUUAGAAGCAGCCACCAUUUAAAGAGUGCGUAAUAGCUCACUAGUCGAGUGACCCUGCGCCGAAAAUGUACCGGGGCUAAACAUAUUACCGAAGCUGUGGACUACACCAUUAGGUGUAGUGGUAGGAGAGCGUUCUAAGGGCGUUGAAGGUCGAUCGUGAGGACGGCUGGAGCGCUUAGAAGUGAGAAUGCCGGUAUGAGUAGCGAAAGACAGGUGAGAAUCCUGUCCACCGUAUGACUAAGGUUUCCUGGGGAAGGCUCGUCCGCCCAGGGUUAGUCGGGACCUAAGCCGAGGCCGAUAGGCGUAGGCGAUGGACAACAGGUUGAUAUUCCUGUACCAGUUGUUUUUGUUUGAGCAAUGGAGGGACGCAGUAGGCUAAGGAAUGCAUGCGAUUGGAAGUGCAUGUCCAAGCAAUGAGUCUUGAGUAGAGUUAAAUGCUUUACUCUUUAAGGACAAGUUGUGACGGGGAGCGAAAUAAUAGUAGCGAAGUUCCUGAUGUCACACUGCCAAGAAAAGCUUCUAGUGAGAAAACAACUGCCCGUACCGUAAACCGACACAGGUAGUCGAGGAGAGUAUCCUAAGGUGAGCGAGCGAACUCUCGUUAAGGAACUCGGCAAAAUGACCCCGUAACUUCGGGAGAAGGGGUGCUGACUUCGGUCAGCCGCAGUGAAUAGGCCCAAGCGACUGUUUAUCAAAAACACAGGUCUCUGCAAAAUCGUAAGAUGAAGUAUAGGGGCUGACGCCUGCCCGGUGCUGGAAGGUUAAGAGGAUGGGUUAGCUUCGGCGAAGCUCAGAAUUGAAGCCCCAGUAAACGGCGGCCGUAACUAUAACGGUCCUAAGGUAGCGAAAUUCCUUGUCGGGUAAGUUCCGACCCGCACGAAAGGCGUAACGAUUUGGGCACUGUCUCAACGAGAGACUCGGUGAAAUUUUAGUACCUGUGAAGAUGCAGGUUACCCGCGACAGGACGG